GACAGGAAAGCUGCACUGAAGUCACACUUCAAAUGAGAAAAAUCUAAGGAAACGCGGUACCCACACGCAGCACGUUUCCAAAACCUCCAUCCUGAUCUAGCAGUCUUGUGCCUGUCUGCAAAGCUUGUCACCACCUUGCCUGUGUGAUACAGAAGACAGAAGAAAUGAAUGGAGAGCAGAGAGCAUAAUGAGAAAAGUGGUGGGAAAUGGCACCAUGACAGUUCUGCUGGAGUUUGCCUGGCACAGCAAUCCUGUCGGCUGCAGCGCGAGGGAAUGCCGGGCUGCGACGGGCAGCAGCGUGGUGCUGCUGACACCGCCUGCGUCCGGACAGCCCUCCCCGAGGACACUGGUACAGUUAAACUCUUCAACCUUUUGGAGAUCUGAGCAUCUUAAAUGCCUCACAUGCAGGGCUUUUCUGCCCAAGGCACUAACGUACAGCCCAGCUACAUGGAGGUGACUCCAGUGGCACCCUGGUCCCACCACUGCGUUGGCUGUGUGACUGCGCAGCUCUGAGUCACGGGAUCAGAGACUUCCUCGCGCUGGGAGGGAAAAACCAAACUCAAAUGAAUCCACAGAAGUAUUUUUGGAUGGCGACUUCUCAGUUAAGCACAAGAGGAAAAAUGAAUCUCCCAAGUGUUUCAUUUUCCCCUGUUAGCCUUGUCUUUUUAAACCAUGGCUCCAAGAAGCAGCCCACAGGCUCCACACCUUGGUUACACACCCGAAGGGGCAUUCAUCGUGGUCGUGUUUCCUGAACGCAGCAGUUUUUUGGCCUUUCUACUUUUUCUGGACUUCCCUAAAUAAUGUUUGUGGAUUUGCACACCGUGCUACCAUCAGUCCCAGACCUACGUGGCUGAAAAGGAAGAUGCAUCUGUGGCACUGUCUGAAAUGUCGUACGCUUGGGCUCGCGUGUUUCUCAGAUGAUCUUUGCCAGCAAAUUGAGCAAAUCAGGAACCUGAAAGACAUGUGGCUAAAACACUCCAGAAGAACAUCUCAGCCUAUGCUAAAGACAAGGAGCAUUGCCCAGCUGAGGAAUACAGUGCGAGACAAGAGCAGAGAAGGUGUCCAACCUUAGCACCAAAGGAACUACCCUGGUUUUACAAGGAAAGAUGGGACUCAUGCUCAUUUCCGACCAGCACAGAGCAAAACUAAGUACUGCAGCACAGUUUCUCUCCUCAGGUGAGACCUGGUAGAACCUACCAAGGACCGGGAAGUGUAAAUGUUGAAGGUGCUGCAGCAAUCCAGGAUGGCCUCCUCAAACAGCCAGACAAACCUUCGCCCUGCUGUGUGACACGAUCUGCGUGAGCCACAGGCUCGACGUUACAUCUCUGUGCACAGGAAGGGGACACAGACCGAGGGCAACCACCAGAGGUUCUAAUGAUCGUGGCCUGCUCGUGCUGUGCACAAAUACCUAGCCUGGCAGUUGUACCCGAGGACACUGCGGGUGCCUUCCCUGGGUCCGGCUUGACAACAGGGCUGUGAGAAUGAGCCUGGUGAGAAAGGAGCUCCAGGAAGAGAACUGGCUGUGUCAUGCAGGAGCACCAACCCUGAUACAAAGAGCGUGCUAGCUCUACACCUGGUACACUGGACAUGAUGGGCAGAGACGCUCUAGGAGAACCAAGCACCUCAAACUGAGCUCUUCAGAAAUGCCAAGCGAUCGCACUCCUGCUGCUUCCUCAAAGUGCAAGGGAGAAUGGAGAAACCCGACUCCUUGGAAGGUUCGCUCUGGAGAUGCGCAAGGAAGAUUCUGAAAUUACAUUUACUUUAAGCAACAAGAAGGAAGAUAAGUUGUUUCAUUAUGAUACUAACUUCUACAAAAAACACACUAUUCAAGGGAAGUGACAAAUUCAUGACUGCAUAAUAUCCUGUGUACUGAAUCUAUACCACCCGUUCCUUGAUGCAUCCCCCUCAAACUCACUGCAUCUGCAUGGAGUCCUCCAACCCCAUAUGAGGUCUACACAUGAAUGACCGCAGGAGUGGCAGGCAAUGUUCAUUUACAGACUAGCAUCUCUAAGGGGCACAUCUGUACUGCAUACACCAGCCAGAUGUGAACCAGCUCCACCUGUGUUCCAAGUUGGUAAGGUAUGAGCGAGACCUGGUGCGGAUGUCACAAGGCCAGUGCACGUGCAGGACUUGAAGCCCUGGCAAUGAGCUCCACCAGACAGUAUGAGGGGUGAGUUCAAUCACGCUACAACUCGCACCCAGCAGGUCUGGAGGGUGGGCACGGGAGGCCGUUAUCACUCUGAUAAUAGGACUCUGUUCAAUCAGCCAACCACGGCGCUCUGAAGCCCUCAUUACCAGCCUUCAGUGCUCUCAAAACUCUCUUUUCUCUAGUUUCUGUACUAAUUUUUUGUAGCCAUAGAAAUCCACAGAGGUCUGGUUUUAAAAGUUGCCUGUACUGAAAUAACAGAGCCAUGACCUUAGCCUGGGUAUCUGGAUACGAUCACAGCACAGUUAAUGACUGAGAGGCCACUGGCUGAAUUUGUGGUUUAAGGCAGACAAGGGAGGGAGGUUGAAAAAGCAAAACAAACCCGGCAAUGUGCAGUCUGUGUUUGGGCUGAAUGCGUUAAUAUUUAAUAUCUCUUCCCCAUUCAGCAUACGCACUGCAUCACAUCUCUUGUGUUUUAAAAACGGCACCCCUGACUUUUAAGAGCUGCCCUGUCUGUUCUGUCUUUUAAGCUUUGUAAUGACUUCAGAUAAUUCUUCAAGCAGCAGCCAAACAUGACCAUGGAUCCCAGCUCCCUGUCAUUUUGGUGUGAGGGUGCUUUUCAGCUGCUCCACGAACAGGGGCUGCAGACAUAAUCCUCUCAGCCUGGCUGAGGUCAGGAGAGGCUCUGGUAGCAAAUUCAGAAGCACCCGCUGCUCCUCCCUCGCUGUGGAACUCUGGCAUUAGAUGCCUCAGUUGCACAGGAAUUGUUUGCUGCGAAGGGAGGCUGCGCCAACGCCACUGCGAGGCAUACAGCCCUAGCUGCAAAUAUUGCUCCGUGGACGGGCCAAAGUCUACACUGAGCUUGUACCUUCAGUGCCUCCCCAAGACAAGGACUGCAGAACUAAACUUGGACUUGAAAACAGAGCAUUUAGUAAAGAGAGAUUACAGAGCAGCCCAGCUUUGCAAACGACUGGAAAAAAAAUCAGUUUAACAUAAAUUAAAAUGCAGCAGCCUCUCCUUUCUGAAGCAUGUUUCACAGUUCAGCUCUACUUUCAGGCCAAAAUGCAUGUUUCCCUUUCUGAGUUCAAAUUAUGCCAAGGCAACUACCCACCGUCUACAGGAGAGGUUUCUCUGCAUCAACUCUAUUGCACAAACCUUCAAGUUUAUCUUUCAGCAACUCAACAGGUACCAUUUCCGUCACCGUUUAGGAUUAUCUCUUGCUCUAAGCAACUUUAAUUGGCACAGCACUAAGAACAGUGUUGUCAGCGGCCGAGUGGACAGGCUACUGAUGUUGUUACAGCAUUUCCUUGUUUCCUUGCGUAGAUGUGGCCACAGGCAGAGGAAGACAAGUCCUGCUGCUGCAGCAGGAUAUGGAUCACACCCCCAUUUGAGAGGACCAAUGAUGAAACUACCAACCAGCAAAAGCCAUCUCAGUUUCUCAGAGAUGUGGCAAUACCCUUGAGAGUAAGAAUGCUUAACAGAAAGGUACGAUCAUUUGCCUUAAAGGAAAUGAAUCCACCUUCAAAGAGUAAAAGAAAGCCUUAUACUUGCUAGAAAGCAAAGCAUGCUUGAGGACUGAAUCUUCAAAACCAUUCUGAACCCUGCUUUGUUUAGGGAUAACAUUUUUUUGCACGUACAUUAGUGUUUUGGAGGGUAGAACCAGCUGAAAUUGCCACUUAAACCUCAGGCCACGCGGAUUCUGGUGGGCAUGGGGCUGGCCUAGUGCAAAAUGCUGAGCUUCCACCAAUACCUAUGCAGUUUUACACCAUGGUGUUCUUAGAUCUUCUGGAUGGGGGACAGUGUCUUAUAUUUCUUUUCUGUGGUGCAUUCUACUUAUUGAAGUGCUGGAAUCUUGAACCAUUUUUCAGUGUGUUCAGAGUAUGAGCACAGGCAGGGAAACUGUGUUUUCCAGUGAGCAUAUAUUCAUCGUUAGGAAUGAGGCUGUGUGCCUGAGAGGCAAGGUACUUCAUCUCUAACAAAUAAAGGCAAAUAAAACAGGUACUUUCGUUUUGGUUUUUCUGUAAGAAGGAAGUAUAAUAGCAGGAAAGGACAACUUGUUAGUGAAACAAAGCAGGGGAAAGAAGUGUUCUCUAUCAAAAAGAGAGAUGGUGCCAUCCAUAACAGAUCUGGCAUGCUGGCAAAAGUAAACCCUGCACAUCAGCCCCCCUAGAUAGAUGACCUGGAGGAGGUUCCACCUUUCUACACCUCUUAGAUAUUACAGAGGGCUCAGUAAGUUUAUAAUAAUCAUUCUGUUCCAAACUUUAGGCAUCCUGCAUGGGCUCCAGAUGGAAAACACGUAAGUGGCCAAUUUUGCUGUACUUUAUACACUCUGCAGAACAUGCUUUCUGCAGAUAUCUCUGGUUUUGGCAAGCUCUAAAUCCGUAAGUGUUUCAGUGCAAUAAAGGCACAGUCAGUGCUCCAUGAGACUGUGGGCAAGCACAGUAAGGUACGGUUGGUCAUGUACCGAGUACCUGAGUACCAGUCCUAUUUUUCCACUUUCACUAAUAUAAUCUUUCUUUAGCUCCAACAGGAGUUUCACCUACACGGUCAGCAGCGCAAGUCCUGGCCCCAGACAUCACACGAGUCCUUCAGAAGCAGGUCUGCAGCUACCUGAAAUCCUGCUGGCCAGCAUACAGUUGGCCAAAAGAGAGCGCAGAGGACAUCAUGCCAAGUGGAUGAUUUUCGCUCUCUGCUGAUGUGUUUGCAAAAUUGAAUCCAGCUCUCAGAGAUGUUUCACGACUGGCCAGCACUUAACGUUUCCCAAGCUUCUUAGUCACCACAAGCAGAUGCCAAACAAAAAUGACAUUCGUGCAAUCCCAGUCUCUAGUAAUUACAUCACUGCCGAGCCCAAGUAACGUGAGACUUCCCUAUUUGAGAUGCAAUUCUCUGAGCAAUAACCUCAAAGUUACGAUUUAGCUAACUUGUCUUCAGGACAACCCCAGAACUGUCCUCUUCAUAGGACUUCCCAUUUCUGCUCCACUCUCCCAGCACUCAGACACUGUGAGGAUGGAGGAAGAUGGCACGAACACACGCACUAGACCUGACAGCCUUGCCAGGCACGGGCCUUUCAGCGCUGAGACCAUCAGCAUGCAGUGCUGAGACUGCCAACAUGAACACUGCAGACAAGCCAAACUGGAGAGCGGAUGCAGUGCCAUGAAUUAAUUCUUCAGGUGAGGACUGAAGGAAACCUGGAGUUCUGCGUGCAGUUUUGGGCCCUGCUAUACGAAAAAGAUGUGGACAGGCUGGAAAGGUUCCGGAGAAAGGCCACUGAGAUAGGCAGAGGACUGGGAAAUCUUCCAUAUGAAGGCAGGCUGGGAGAACUGGGUUUGUUGAGCCUCAACAGGAGGCAGCUUAGGGGAGAUCUUGUUACCGUGUACCACUAUGUAAGGGACGUCUACCCAAGAGGAUGGAGACUCUCUUUUUAUGAGGAGUCACAUGGAAAAGACAAGGGGCAAUGGGUACAAGUUUCUCCCGGUGAGAUUCCGAAUGGAUUCCAAAAGAAAGGUUUUCCCCAUGAGAACAUUUAAACAUUGGAAUCAUCUCCCCAGGAAGGCGGUGGAUUGCUCUACACUGGACAUUUUUGAGGCUCAGCUCGACAGGGUGCUGGGCCAUCUCAUUUAAACUAGAGAUCAUCUAAACGGCUGGACCAGAUGAUCUCUGAGGUCCCCGAAGUUUAAGAAAGGGCAAGGUCAAACGAUUUCAUGCCAUAUUCUGAAAGCAAACUGAGGCCUGAGGGCAGGACAAAGCCUUCUCAGCCUUCCAGAGCAUUCCGCACAGAGAGAAGUGCUGUUCAGGUUCCCAGAAGUGCCAAACAGCUGCCACACACUGCAAAGGAUUUGUGCCACAGGGUGCACCACACACUGAGCAGGAUGCUUGUGAGUUGGACUGCCUGGCUCUGUGCCACAACUGAGCCCCCUCUGGUGUGGAAGAGCAGCAGAAAACCUUCCAACUCCAUAACUUUAUUUUAGAUAACACAGCCGGACCACUACGGAACAACUGUUGCAAAAGGGACCGUCAUUUGGCUGCAAAAGAUGAUGAACUGGAGGACUUAAACUGAAUCUUUCAGUGGGGCAAAUGUUCUUUUUUACCACUCGCUGAACAGAAGCGCUGCUUCAGUAUCCUCAGGCUCUUCUUUUUAUUCUAGAGCUUACAAACAAAAUUCUAAAACCUUGUGUCACUCACUUGUUUUACAGAAGAUUUGCUUUUUACAAGAUGAACAUAAGCAGUUCUUUAAUUGCGCAACCCUCAUUGUAUCCCUUUAUUAGCAAGCCAAGAUUAUAAUUGCCUUCUGCACUUCAUUUUCCUUCGCAAACACCACCCAACAUCUAUGUCUGCGGGACCUGCCUUUGUUUAAUUCCAUUUAGUUGGGGUUUCUUCAAAGCCAAACGCUGCAUCGCAGUAACCCUCGUCUGUCCGUGCAGAGUGCAGUUAGUCAGUAUUUACAACAGCCAUUUCUGUGGCAGCAGCACUUGCCAGACAGUGCUGCUCACCAGAGACAAACUUGAUUACAUACAUGUACAACAAAUACAUUGUUAACGUGGCAUCAACCUCGUGCACUUUUGAGCAUGAAGCUCCCUUCUUUUGGACCUGCGCCAUGCUUUUACAUAUCUAGAGAUGUGUGCAGAUUACCUUCUUUAUGUCGAUCUGUCUGCCUGGAGGAGGGGGGUUGGAACUCUGGAUGAGAUUUAAGGUUCCUUCUCACCCAAACUAUUCCAUGAUUCUAUGAGUAUUCCAUCAGAAAUGAAGCUUGGGGAGGGGGGAAGCUUAAAGAAUCAUCAAGAUUCUUCCAUCUGAGAGCACUUCUAGAGAUGGAGUAGUUGAAGAUGCGCAUCACCAACUUUUUAUUGAGUGUCAAACAUGAAAAAAGGAAGGGAAAUUACCAAUAUUUUCAAGGAAUUUGGGUCCUAGAAGCUAAACUCCAAAU